AUAGGUGAGAGCGCUGGGUCGUGUGUGUGUGUGUGUGUGUGUGUGUGUACACACACACACACACACACACACACACACACACACACACACACACACC